rnacentral:rRNA from 1 species
UACAGAGGGUGCAAGCGUUAAUCGGAAUUACUGGGCGUAAAGCGUGCGUAGACGGUUAUUUAAGUCAGGUGUGAAAGCCCCGGGCUCAACCUGGGAAUUGCAUUUGAGACUGAAUAGCUAGGGUGCGGAAGAGGGAAGCGGAAUUUCCGGUGUAGCGGUGAAAAGCGUAGAUAUCGGAAGGAACACCAGUGGCGAAAGCGGCUUCCUGGUCCAGCACCGACGUUCAGGCACGAAAGCGUGGGGAGCAAACAGG